GCUGGCUCUCCUUUCUCAGCUCCAUUUACAGCCUGCAAAUGUUUAACAUUACAAUAUUGUGGAGAUAAGGUAAUUAACAUUCUCAAAUGGAAAGCAAUAUCCACUCUAGCACACAAGGACAAUUCAGACCAAAAUGGCUAUGCACAUGCAGUAGGCAAAACUAAGAUGCCUCAGAAGAAAUAGAAAUUAAAGCUUUUUAGUGAACUUGUGCCCAACUUCUGCCAGCAUCAGAAACAACCAAGAAUAUUGCACCCAUCUAAUAACAACGACCAAGAAUUGACACACUUGCCUUGAAUGUGUCACUGACAUCACUGUCAAUAACUAUAAAAAGAGGCCUUCUCAUAAAUGGAACUAAAUCAGUAGGGUAAAUGCUGUUUAAUCCUGGAAAAAGGAUAAUUUAAUGUCAGAUAAAUGACAAGUCCUGCCAUAAAUGAACAGUACGUCUACUCUGCAUCCCACAAAAUAUCAACUAAUAAUCAGAAUUUUCUCAAGUAUGUUGCCAGAAGUGCCCAUUAUUAGUGAGAAGAACAGCUAACAUAAGAAUGUUAGAAGAAAAGAAAUGCAUAAAACUUCAUCCCCAUCUUGAUUAUCUUCAGUUGUAUUGUACAGUCAAUCUCAGAUGUUCAAGUCAUUGUUUUUUGUAGUUGGGUUAUGCCUGGAAUGGUGUUUGAGUUAUUAAUGUGUUGGAGAGGAGGCAUGAGGUGGUGACUGGACAAUAGCACCACUUUAUGUUAUCCAAAGUUUGCAGUGAGGAAUUACAAAGCCCUCAAAGGAGCAGAGAUCAACAUCAGAGAAAAAUUUGAGGUUUCAAUUGAGGAACCUGUUCUCUUGUUUUCCAGCUUCAUCAAAAGCUAAGUAUUCUGUGCCUUUCUAGAGUUUUUGGAUGUAAUGGCUCUUUAUUCUUUCUUUCCUUCCUCCAAUAAACAAAAUAUAUAUGAACCCUUUUUUCAUGUUUCUUCUUCAGUAGUCUUUUGUAUAAUAAUAUAAUUCCAGCAUAGUUAAGUGGCAUCCCCUAUGUUGGCAUUCUCAAUAACAUUUCAGUUAAAAAGACACAUUUCAGUGGUCACUCACAUGGAUUUACAUGGUAGUUUGUCACCAAUGAGCUUUUUUAUGUAGUCAUCUGUCAUCAUCAGUUUUAUUAGGACCUGAUGUAGUUAGGUAACAGGAACAAGUAGUAGCUUUAGUCAAUAAAAUUUCAUAGAGCCUAGUACUUUUAAGAAUAACAUGAAAAUACAGUAUAAAACAAGAAAGGAAUAUACAUGUAAACCCACACACACAAACACAUAAAGAAUGUAGAAUUACCUGUGUAAUUGCAUUAACUUGGCAUACAAGAAUUGAUUAGGCGACUACAGGUAAAUGGAAAUUUGAAGGUUUGUGACCAAACAGGUGCAUGAAAGGGAAAUUUCUUCAUAAUGUUCUAAGUACCUCCAUUUCCACGAGCACCAAAAUACAAGCAGUCUCCUUUACUUCGCCUUGAAGAUUGGUUUGGACAAUUACUAGGUGAACUAAAUGGAGAAGUGGAAGCUCCAUCCAAGUCGACGUUAUGAGAUUGAAAGUUCCUCACAACAUUCUCAGCAGUGUUGAUAGAAGUUCCAGCACCUAGGGGAGAUGAAAGUUUGUCCAACUCUUCCUGAAGCAAUUUAAUGAUGCUAAGAGGCAUGGAAAUCCCAUAUGUCUAUAGUGGAUAUGAGGAAGGAAAAGAAAGAAAGAAGUAAACAUGAACUCCAAAGUAAAGCAAAACAUGCAACCUGAAGCUGACAAAUAUAUAAGGAGAACUCCAUCAGCAAGUAGCUCCUCACAAAUCAUACAAGUGAAACCACAAGCCCAUGUAUAAAUUGGGUGUCAAUGUCAUAUUAUCUACAACAACAUUAAAAAAAAGUAGUCUUUGUCAUGUCAACUUCUGAAGGGGCAUUACAUCAAUCAGCAUUGUUAAAUAAGUAGACAAACAUUGUGAAUGCAUAUCUUCGUGGGCACAUUAUAUACAAGCACAACACAUCAAAGAACACUAAUUUAUAAUAUGUGAUUAGGCAUCCAACAUGUAAAUGUCUCUAAUUCAUAAAACUACAUUGUAAGUCAAGAUUCCUAAAUGGAUGAGCACCUCACAGCCUUGGUUCACCAGACAACAUAAAAUCUCUAUAAUCGUCUCUGUUCUAUGCGGUUAUGACAUUUUUGUUAUCAGCUCAGAGCCUCAACCUACAGUCAAAGGACUCGAAUCCUCCUUAAUCCAAAGGGAACAAAAUUAAUAUGACUUCCACCACAUUCAAUAAUCAGAAAGCAGCACAUUUCCUUCCUCUUGAUAAUAUGAUGAGUGCUAAAUCAACUUGGAUAAACUUCUUUUUUUUAAGCUGUCGUCAUCACUCAAACCAUCUUUAAACUUUGAAGCCGUCACCAGUCUCCCAGUAAGAAAGCAAGAGAAACCACCAACGUGAAAGUUGUCAAAGCAUCAGAUCCUCAAUUUCCAAGUUCUAUGGUAAUCAGGACAUUGAGAUGUUAAAAUGCUUCAACAAACCAUUUUAAUAUUAAUUUAAUACCGGACCUUGCCCAAAGCAGGUAAAUUUCAGAUUUUCAAUACAUACCUGACUUGGAGGUUCCAUAAACCUUUAGGUCAAAACAUGAGAAAUAGGUAAUUAAGGAGCAGAAAUGUAACGGUAAAACUUAUAUAUCAUAUCAUACUCACUGCUUAAAAAUGCAUCAAAGACGGAUGAUAUAAUACAACUUUCCGUGAGUUUGCAGGCAAAGUAGGAUCAGUGAUGUCCUGGUUGUAGUUAAUGCGACUAGGCCCUGG
rnacentral:misc_RNA from 1 species